rfam:Triticum aestivum genome assembly, contig: Triticum_aestivum_CS42_TGACv1_scaffold_289002_4AL
AUAGUACUCCCUCCGUCCCAAAAUUCUUGUCUUAGAUUUAUCUAAAUACGGUACAUCCGUAUUUAGAUAAAUCUAAGACAAUAAUUUUGGGACGGAGGGAGUAAAAC